rnacentral:rRNA from 1 species
UCCGGAGGAUCCAAGCGUUAUCCGGAUUCAUUGGGUUUAAAGGGUGCGUAGGCGGAAUGAUAAGUCAGUGGUGAAAGCCUGUUGCUUAACAACAGAACUGCCAUUGAUACUGUCAAUCUUGAGUACAUUUGAUGUGGGCGGAAUGUGUCAUGUAGCGGUGAAAUGCUUAGAUAUGACACAGAACACCGAUUGCGAAGGCAGCUCACAAAACUGUAACUGACGCUGAGGCACGAAAGCGUGGGUAUCAAACAGG